UCGUCAGCUCGUGUCGUGAGAUGUUGGGUUAAGUCCCGCAACGAGCGCAACCCUUGCCUUUAGUUGCCAGCAUUAAGUUGGGCACUCUAGAGGGACUGCCAGGGAUAACCUGGAGGAAGGUGGGGAUGACGUCAAAUCAUCAUGCCCCUUAUGUUUAGGGCUACACACGUGCUACAAUGGGUGGUACAGAGGGCAGCCAAGCCGUGAGGCGGAGCUAAUCCCUUAAAGCCAUUCUCAGUUCGGAUUGUAGGCUGAAACUCGCCUACAUGAAGCUGGAGUUACUAGUAAUCGCAGAUCAGAAUGCUGCGGUGAAUGCGUUCCCGGGUCUUGUACACACCGCCCGUCACACCACGGAAGUUGGGGGCGCCCGAAGCCGGAUUGCUAACCUUUUGGAAGCGUCCGUCGAAGGUGAAAUCAAUAACUGGGGUGAAGUCGUAACAAGGUAACCGUA
rnacentral:rRNA from 1 species